rnacentral:rRNA from 1 species
UACGAAGGGGGCUAGCGUUGUCCGGAAUCACUGGGCGUAAAGCGACCGCAGGCGGCCUGACAAGUCGGAUGUGAAAGCCCUGGGCUCAACUCAGGAAUUGCAUUCGAAACUGGCAGGCUCGAGUACGGGAGAGGGGGGUGGAAUUCCUGGUGUAGGGGUGAAAUUCGUUGAUAUCAGGAGGAACACCGGCGGCGAAGGCGGCCCCCUGGCCCGCAACUGACGCUCAUGGUCGAAAGCGUGGGGAGCAAACAGG